rnacentral:rRNA from 1 species
UGGGGAAUAUUGGACAAUGGGCGAAAGCCUGAUCCAGCCAUGCCGCGUGUGUGAAGAAGGCCUUUUGGUUGUAAAGCACUUUAAGCGAGGAGGAGGCUACUUGGAUUAAUACUCUAGGAUAGUGGACGUUACUCGCAGAAUAAGCACCGGCUAACUCUGUGCCAGCAGCCGCGGUAAUACAGAGGGUGCGAGCGUUAAUCGGAUUUACUGGGCGUAAAGCGUGCGUAGGCGGCUUUUUAAGUCGGAUGUGAAAUCCCUGAGCUUAACUUAGGAAUUGCAUUCGAUACUGGAAGCUAGAGUAUGGGAGAGGAUGGUAGAAUUCCAGGUGUAGCGGUGAAAUGCGUAGAGAUCUGGAGGAAUACCGAUGGCGAAGGCAGCCAUCUGGCCUAAUACUGACGCUGAGGUACGAAAGCAUGGGGAGCAAACAGG